rnacentral:rRNA from 1 species
AUGGGUGAGAAGACGAUUAUGGACAUCGCAUUCUGCAACGGAGAGCUCUAUGGUCUUAUGUAUCCCAAUGAGGAGCUGGUUAAAUUUGAAAUUGACAUCAAGGUAGACGGCACGCCGAUCAUCACAUCCAACCACACGCUGGCCGUUGAAAGGCGCAACCGUCACGAGUCGUUCCAGGGCUACCUCAUCGAGCUACAUGGCAAGCCAUCUAUGGCGAUACGAUACUGUUGGUUGCCCAACCGGGAGCCUUUUUUUAAGGUCUUCACACUUGUCGACACCGAAAACGAUGAGAGUUACAUGUACAAGUGGGCAGAACUGAUGAGUUUUGACGACCAUGCCUUGUUCUUCGGGCUGAAGAACUCUAAGGCGGUGCGCGUGACAGACAGACAUCAUGGUGUGAAGAGAAACCAUAUCUACUACUCCACAAAAAAAGAUCAGUGGCCAAAAACUGAGUUGCCCGAUGAUACAUUGUACUCCGUAAUAACAAACGACGACGAGCACAUGUAUUGCAGGGAAGAUGAAAGAGUCGGCGAUGGUGUCGAGAGAACAGGAUAUUUCAUGGUGGGUUUUAGAAGUUCUCUCAUGUGGCUUUACCCUCCAUGCUCGUAG